rnacentral:siRNA from 1 species
GAAGGCCAUACAACAGGCACGCA